GAUGGGGACAUCAGAGCCCUUCAUCCAGAUGAUCCUGAGCCUCCGGAUUGAGCCAGACGCAUUUAUUUGCAUUUAGGGAUUUAUUUGUGGUUUAUUUUAUUUCUGAGUUUAUUUGCAUUUUAGGGCUUAUUUGUGGUUUAUUUGUGUUAUUUGUGGGCUUAUUAGGAUUUAUUGUUGUGUAAGGAGGUUUAUGCAAGUUGUGUAUUUGGGCCCUAUAUAUAGGGAACUAUUUUCAUGAUUAGGGUUUAAUGAAGUGAUUUGGAAUUUCUUUCCCCCUACGUUCUUUUUUUCUCUUUUUCUCCUCUCCUCCUCUAUUCUUCCUGCGUCUCUACAACCUCUUCUUCCUUUUCCCUCUCUUGUUCUUCCUUCUUCUCCUCUUUCCCCACACUUGUGCUGCAUCAACUUGGUAUCAGAGCAAGAGGCUUUGCCCCUGN
rnacentral:lncRNA from 1 species